GAGCGCCGUAGCAAUACGGAGCGGCAGACGGGAGAGUAACACGUGGGAACGUGCCCUUCAGUUCGGAACAACCCAGGGAAACUUGGGCUAAUACCGAAUACGUCCGUAAGGAGAAAGAUUUAUCGCUGAAGGAUCGGCCCGCGUCUGAUUAGCUAGUUGGUGAGGUAACGGCUCACCAAGGCGACGAUCAGUAGCUGGUCUGAGAGGAUGAUCAGCCUCACUGGGACUGAGACACGGCCCAGACUCCUACGGGAGGCAGCAGUGGGGAAUAUUGGACAAUGGGCGCAAGCCUGAUCCAGCCAUGCCGCGUGGAUGAUGAAGGCCCUAGGGUUGUAAAGUCCUUUCGGCGGGGAAGAUAAUGACGGUACCCGCAGAAGAAGCCCCGGCUAACUUCGUGCCAGCAGCCGCGGUAAUACGAAGGGGGCUAGCGUUGCUCGGAAUCACUGGGCGUAAAGCGCACGUAGGCGGCUUUUUAAGUCAGGGGUGAAAUCCUGGAGCUCAACUCCAGAACUGCCUCUGAUACUGAGAAGCUUGAGUCCGGGAGAGGUGAGUGGAACUGCGAGUGUAGAGGUGAAAUUCGUAGAUAUUGGGAAGAACACCGGUGGCGAAGGCGGCGCUCUGGACCGAUACUGACGCUGAGGCGCGGAAGCGUGGGGA
rnacentral:rRNA from 1 species